rnacentral:rRNA from 1 species
UACAGAGGUCCCAAGCGUUGUUCGGAAUUACUGGGCGUAAAGGGCUCGUAGGCGGCCAACUAAGUCAUACGUGAAAUCCCUCGGCUUAACCGGGGAACUGCGUCUGAUACUGGAUGGCUUGAGUUCGGGAGAGGGAUGCGGAAUUCCAGGUGUAGCGGUGAAAUGCGUAGAUAUCUGGAGGAACACCGGUGGCGAAAGGCGGCAUCCUGGACCGAUACUGACGCUGAGGAGCGAAAGCCAGGGGAGCAAACGGG